UAAAGAAAGCGUAAUAGCUCACUGGUCGAGUCGGCCUGCGCGGAAGAUGUAACGGGGCUAAACCAUGCACCGAAGCUGCGGCAGCGACACUAUGUGUUGUUGGGUAGGGGAGCGUUCUGUAAGCCUGUGAAGGUGUACUGUGAGGUAUGCUGGAGGUAUCAGAAGUGCGAAUGCUGACAUAAGUAACGAUAAAGCGGGUGAAAAGCCCGCUCGCCGGAAGACCAAGGGUUCCUGUCCAACGUUAAUCGGGGCAGGGUGAGUCGACCCCUAAGGC
rnacentral:rRNA from 1 species